GACGAACGCUGGCGGCGUGCCUAAUACAUGCAAGUAGAACGCUGAAACUUGGUGCUUGCACCGAGCGGAUGAGUUGCGAACGGGUGAGUAACGCGUAGGUAACCUGCCUGGUAGCGGGGGAUAACUAUUGGAAACGAUAGCUAAUACCGCAUAAGAGUAGAUGUUGCAUGACAUUUGCUUAAAAGGUGCAAUUGCACCACUACCAGAUGGACCUGCGUUGUAUUAGCUAGUUGGUGGGGUAACGGCUCACCAAGGCGACGAUACAUAGCCGACCUGAGAGGGUGAUCGGCCAAACUGGGACUGAGACACGGCCCAGACUCCUACGGGAGGCAGCAGUAGGGAAUCUUCGGCAAUGGACGGAUGUCUGACCGAGCAACGCCGCGUGAGUGAAGAAGGUUUUCGGAUCGUAAAGCUCUGUUGUAAGAGAAGAACGAGUGUGAGAGUGGAAAGUUCACACUGUGACGGUAUCUUACCAGAAAGAGACGGCUAACUACGUG
rnacentral:rRNA from 1 species